GAAGGAGCGAAGAUGGCGGAGUGAGGUGCGCCGCGGAGCGCGGCCUCGGGGCCGCGGGCGGGCCCGCCGAGUUCCGCGCCUGAGGAGUGUGGGGCUUUCACCUCAUAAGAAGAACAUUUUCCUUGACCUUUAGGUGCUUUUAUAUUUUCUUCAUCUCAGAAAGAACAAAAGAAUUCUGAACUCAGGACUUGGCAAGGACUGCUCUGAUAUGAGAAGAAGUCUUGCCAUCCUUGCUUCUAAGGAGCACCUUGACCAAACUUCUUCCAAGGAAGUGUCUGUGGGUCGGGUCUGUAUGCCAGCAGUGGAACAUCUGAAAGGCAUUUCCAUGUUAUGCCCCGGAGCAGGUAGUCCUGCCUCUCUUAUCCAGCCACUUUCCCUCUUCACCAAGCAUGGGAUCUCCUCUCUACAGUUGACCUCCAGGAUUUCAAAUGGAAAACGCUGCUUUCCCUUAUUUUGUUCUCCUCUGAAAUUCAACCCAGAGCAGCCGUUCGGAUCAGUCAUGCCAAUUUCUCCCCAGCAAGAAUCAACUGACCUGGGACUUCAGCGGUUGUUGGCUUAAUUGUAAAGAAAUUACUUUGAAAGCCGAAGUCCAACAGAAAUGUGAAACGCAUGCUUUGAUGGUGGUAUUUGUGAACUCCUUACUUUUUGUUCCGUAUAAGAAGACCAACGAAAUAGCAAACAUGGAGGACUUCAGGUUUGGUUUGUUGUUGUUGUUUUUUGCCAUGUCUUCCAGUUUCAGCCAUUAUCAGGAAAAUCAGUUCAUCCUGCAGCAGUAAGUUCUAAUAUACAGUCGAAUUUGAAGUAUAAAAGAGAUGGUAAAACAUGACAUAUAUCCAAACCUCAUCAUGACAUAUUUCCUGAUUAAACAAAGGUCCAAUUUUGCAAUUAAACCUUUAUUCUGAUAAGAAGUAUAAGGCAAAAUAUCUUGGGGUUAAUCAUAUGUGAAUAAACUUUCACAGUCUCUGUA